rnacentral:rRNA from 1 species
GCAGUCGAGCGAACGGACGAGAAGCUUGCUUCUCUGAUGUUAGCGGCGGACGGGUGAGUAACACGUGGAUAACCUACCUAUAAGACUGGGAUAACUUCGGGAAACCGGAGCUAAUACCGGAUAAUAUUUUGAACCGCAUGGUUCAAAAGUGAAAGACGGUCUUGCUGUCACUUAUAGAUGGAUCCGCGCUGCAUUAGCUAGUUGGUAAGGUAACGGCUUACCAAGGCAACGAUGCAUAGCCGACCUGAGAGGGUGAUCGGCCACACUGGAACUGAGACACGGUCCAGACUCCUACGGGAGGCAGCAGUAGGGAAUCUUCCGCAAUGGGCGAAAGCCUGACGGAGCAACGCCGCGUGAGUGAUGAAGGUCUUCGGAUCGUAAAACUCUGUUAUUAGGGAAGAACAUAUGUGUAAGUAACUGUGCACAUCUUGACCGGUACCUAAUCAGGAAAGCCACGGCUAACUACGUGCCAGCAGCCGCGGUAAUACGUAGGUGGCAAGCGUUAUCCGGAAUUAUUGGGCGUAAAGCGCGCGUAGGCGGUUUUUUAAGUCUGAUGUGAAAGCCCACGGCUCAACCGUGGAGGGUCAUUGGAAACUGGAAAACUUGAGUGCAGAAGAGGAAAGUGGAAUUCCAUGUGUAGCGGUGAAAUGCGCAGAGAUAUGGAGGAACACCAGUGGCGAAGGCGACUUUCUGGUCUGUAACUGACGCUGAUGUGCGAAAGCGUGGGGAUCAAACAGGAUUAGAUACCCUGGUAGUCCACGCCGUAAACGAUGAGUGCUAAGUGUUUAGGGGGUUUCCGCCCCUUAGUGCUGCAGCUAACGCAUUAAGCACUCCGCCUGGGGAGUACGACCGCAAGGUUGAAACUCAAAGGAAUUGACGGGGACCCGCACAAGCGGUGGAGCAUGUGGUUUAAUUCGAAGCAACGCGAAGAACCUUACCAAAUCUUGACAUCCUUUGACAACUCUAGAGAUAGAGCUUUCCCCUUCGGGGGACAAAGUGACAGGUGGUGCAUGGUUGUCGUCAGCUCGUGUCGUGAGAUGUUGGGUUAAGUCCCGCAACGAGCGCAACCCUUAAGCUUAGUUGCCAUCAUUAAGUUGGGCACUCUAAGUUGACUGCCGGUGACAAACCGGAGGAAGGUGGGGAUGACGUCAAAUCAUCAUGCCCCUUAUGAUUUGGGCUACACACGUGCUACAAUGGACAAUACAAAGGGCAGCGAAACCGCGAGGUCAAGCAAAUCCCAUAAAGUUGUUCUCAGUUCGGAUUGUAGUCUGCAACUCGACUACAUGAAGCUGGAAUCGCUAGUAAUCGUAGAUCA